rnacentral:tRNA from 1 species
ACCUAGCUGGCUCAAUCAGGAGAGCAUGGGACUCUUAAUCUCGGGGCUGUGAGUUCAAGCCCCAUGUUGGGUG